rnacentral:rRNA from 1 species
GAUGAACGCUGGCGGCGUGCCUAAUACAUGCAAGUCGAGCGAACGGACGAGAAGCUUGCUUCUCUGAUGUUAGCGGCGGACGGGUGAGUAACACGUGGAUAACCUACCUAUAAGACUGGGAUAACUUCGGGAAACCGGAGCUAAUACCGGAUAAUAUUUUGAACCGCAUGGUUCAAAAGUGAAAGACGGUCUUGCUGUCACUUAUAGAUGGAUCCGCGCUGCAUUAGCUAGUUGGUAAGGUAACGGCUUACCAAGGCAACGAUGCAUAGCCGACCUGAGAGGGUGAUCGGCCACACUGGAACUGAGACACGGUCCAGACUCCUACGGGAGGCAGCAGUAGGGAAUCUUCCGCAAUGGGCGAAAGCCUGACGGAGCAACGCCGCGUGAGUGAUGAAGGUCUUCGGAUCGUAAAACUCUGUUAUUAGGGAAGAACAUAUGUGUAAGUAACUGUGCACAUCUUGACGGUACCUAAUCAGAAAGCCACGGCUAACUACGUGCCAGCAGCCGCGGUAAUACGUAGGUGGCAAGCGUUAUCCGGAAUUAUUGGGCGUAAAGCGCGCGUAGGCGGUUUUUUAAGUCUGAUGUGAAAGCCCACGGCUCAACCGUGGAGGGUCAUUGGAAACUGGAAAACUUGAGUGCAGAAGAGGAAAGUGGAAUUCCAUGUGUAGCGGUGAAAUGCGCAGAGAUAUGGAGGAACACCAGUGGCGAAGGCGACUUUCUGGUCUGUAACUGACGCUGAUGUGCGAAAGCGUGGGGAUCAAACAGGAUUAGAUACCCUGGUAGUCCACGCCGUAAACGAUGAGUGCUAAGUGUUAGGGGGUUUCCGCCCCUUAGUGCUGCAGCUAACGCAUUAAGCACUCCGCCUGGGGAGUACGACCGCAAGGUUGAAACUCAAAGGAAUUGACGGGGACCCGCACAAGCGGUGGAGCAUGUGGUUUAAUUCGAAGCAACGCGAAGAACCUUACCAAAUCUUGACAUCCUUUGACAACUCUAGAGAUAGAGCUUUCCCCUUCGGGGGACAAAGUGACAGGUGGUGCAUGGUUGUCGUCAGCUCGUGUCGUGAGAUGUCGGGUUAAGUCCCGCAACGAGCGCAACCCUUAAGCUUAGUUGCCAUCAUUAAGUUGGGCACUCUAAGUUGACUGCCGGUGACAAACCGGAGGAAGGUGGGGAUGACGUCAAAUCAUCAUGCCCCUUAUGAUUUGGGCUACACACGUGCUACAAUGGACAAUACAAAGGGCAGCGAAACCGCGAGGUCAAGCAAAUCCCAUAAAGUUGUUCUCAGUUCGGAUUGUAGUCUGCAACUCGACUACAUGAAGCUGGAAUCGCUAGUAAUCGUAGAUCAGCAUGCUACGGUGAAUACGUUCCCGGGUCU